GCCGCGUUGGCGCAAUGGUAGCGCAUCCGCCUCCUAUUCCAUCUCGGAGAUACAGGACAGCGGGAGGUUGUGGGUUCGAGCCCCAUGCGUGGUU